UCCGAGAGGAACCUUCACCCCCCGGGGGGAGGCCGGGUGGGAUGGUAGACUUUUUUUUCGCCACAAGUGGGA